GACGAACGCUGGCGGCGUGCUUAACACAUGCAAGUCGAACGGCAAGGCCCUGCUUUUGUGGGGUGCUCGAGUGGCGAACGGGUGAGUAACACGUGAGUAACCUGCCCUUGACUUUGGGAUAACUUCAGGAAACUGGGGCUAAUACCGGAUAGGAGCUCCUGCUGCAUGGUGGGGGUUGGAAAGUUUCGGCGGUUGGGGAUGGACUCGCGGCUUAUCAGCUUGUUGGUGGGGUAGUGGCUUACCAAGGCUUUGACGGGUAGCCGGCCUGAGAGGGUGACCGGCCACAUUGGGACUGAGAGACGGCCCAGACUCCUACGGGAGGCAGCAGUGGGGAAUAUUGCACAAUGGGCGGAAGCCUGAUGCAGCAACGCCGCGUGCGGGAUGACGGCCUUCGGGUUGUAAACCGCUUUCGCCUGUGACGAAGCGUGAGUGACGGUAAUGGGUAAAGAAGCACCGGCUAACUACGUG
rnacentral:rRNA from 1 species